rnacentral:ncRNA from 1 species
AGUCACUGAAUUAGAGAUCGGGGCUUCUGUUUUUUUUAUUAAUCUAAUAUUGAGGUUUUUUAUGUCUCUAACUGCUGCAGAUAAAGCAAAAAUUGUUGCUGAUUUUGGUCGUGG